rnacentral:rRNA from 1 species
UGGGGAAUCUUGCGCAAUGGCCGAGAGGCUGACGCAGCGACGCCGCGUGCGGGAGGACGCCCUUCGGGGUGUAAACCGCUGUUGCCCGGGACGAACGAGGUCAUUCGUGACCUGUGACGGUACCGGGUGAGGAAGCGCCGGCUAACUCCGUGCCAGCAGCCGCGGUAAUACGGAGGGCGCGAGCGUUGUUCGGAAUCACUGGGCGUAAAGGGCGCGUAGGCGGCCGUGGUAAGUCUGCGGUGAAAGCCCGGGGCUCAACCCCGGGUCGGCCGUGGGUACUGCUGGGCUGGAGCACUGUAGGGGCAGGCGGAAUUCCGGGUGUAGCGGUGGAAUGCGUAGAGAUCCGGAAGAACACCGGUGGCGAAGGCGGCCUGCUGGGCAGUGGCUGACGCUGAGGCGCGACAGCGUGGGGAGCAAACAG